UUUUGAAUUUGGUGCUUGAGCCUAUGAAUCACUUCUACCAAGGCCUCCAAAAUAAUGAGAAAAGCAAGAUGAGGAUCUGUACCUGAUUUUCAG
rnacentral:lncRNA from 1 species